AAAGUCCCCGACAUUGCAAGAACUAGCGAUUCACGAUUUCCCCGAGUCAUGCGUGGCCAGCCGCGAGGCGGGUUGCGAAGCGUUGACAGGGGCGCUGAUAGGCCAGCCAUUGAGCCACGAAAUGGAUACAUUCCCGAGUGCUGACGUACUACUGUAUGCGGAAGGCAACAUCGCGCGGCGCGCUAUCGCGAGCGCUGCGCGGACUCGGCGUGGUCUGAGACCC
rfam:Burkholderia cenocepacia J2315 chromosome 1, complete genome